UCGGGAAUUUUGGGCAAUGGGCGAAAGCCUGACCCAGCAACGCCGCGUGAAGGAUGAAGUAUUUCGGUAUGUAAACUUCGAAAGAAUAGGAAGAAUAAAUGACGGUACUAUUUAUAAGGUCCGGCUAACUACGUGCCAGCAGCCGCGGUAAUACGUAGGGACCAAGCGUUGUUCGGAUUUACUGGGCGUAAAGGGCGCGUAGGCGGCAAUUCAAGUCAUCUGUGAAAUCUCCGGGCUUAACUCGGAACGGUCAGAUGAUACUGCUUUGCUAGAGUGCAGAAGGGGCAAUCGGAAUUCUUGGUGUAGCGGUGAAAUGCGUAGAUAUCAAGAGGAACACCUGAGGCGAAGGCGAGUUGCUGGGCUGACACUGACGCUGAGGCGCGAAAGCCAGGGGAGCAAACGGGAUUAGAUACCCCUGUAGUCCCUGAGCGGGCUGGCAAGGCGCAU
rnacentral:rRNA from 1 species